rnacentral:tRNA from 1 species
UGCGAGGUAGCUCAGUUGGUUAGAGCGUCGGAUUCAUAACCCGGAGGUCACGAGUUCAAAUCUCGUUCUCGCAA